UACAGAGGGUGCAAGCGUUGUCCGGAAUUAUUGGGCGUAAAGGGCUCGUAGGCGGUUUGUCGCGUCGGGAGUGAAAUCCACUGGCUUAACUGGUGGCUUGCUUUCGAUACGGGCAGACUGGAGGUAUGCAGGGGAGAACGGAAUUCCUGGUGUAGCGGUGAAAUGCGUAGAGAUCCGGAGGAACACCAAAGGCGAAGGCAGUGUCCUGGGGAGUACCUGACGCUCAGGUGCGAAAGCCAGGGGAGCGAACGGG
rnacentral:rRNA from 1 species